UUUCAUCAAAAAUUGAAAUAUUUGGCUUCUUUGAUAUGCUGAAUUUAACCGUGUAUUUAGAUUCUUAAUUUUUGGUCCCGUUUUCAAAUUGGUCUACAUUAAGGUCCAAAGGGUUCAAAAUUAAACUUAGUUUGAUUUUAACAAAAAUUGAAUUCUUGGGGUUCUUUGAUAUGCUGAAUCUAACCGUGUAUGUAUUUAGAUUUUGGAUAUUGGACCAUAAUAGGUAAAUUAAAAAAUUUUAAGUUCUUAGACCACAUUCAUUCUGUGUCAGAAACCUAUGCUGUGUCAAAUAUUUAAUCGCAAUCCAAAUUCAGAGCUGUAUCAAGCUUGAAUGUUGUGUCCAUACUUGCCCCAACUGUUCAGGGUUCUAACUCUGCGGUCGUAUCAAGCUGCACCCAGCGGAGCAUUUUAUUCUAAUACUGUAUGCAGCAUGUCAAGUAUAUUUGGUGUAUGAAAAUUUUUAAGGAUGUACAUGUUAGUCUGGCAUGUUUUAUUCGACCUUGACCUCAUUUUUAUGGUUCAUUGCUCAAUGUUAUUUUUUUGUUUUUUGGUCAGUUUUUCUAUUUUCUUAUUUUCAAAUUAGCAAUAGGUCAACUAUAUUUGGUGUAUGGAAUGAUAGUAAGGUGCAUAUCAUGAUAUGUUUGACUGAGAAGUUUCGUCUUACCUUGACUUUAUUUUCAUAGUACAUUGGACAAUGUUUAGUUUUUGUGGUUUGGUCUAUUUUUCGGAUACUGUAAGCAAUAAGGCCCCUAUAUUUGGUGAAUGGAAUGAUUGUAAGAUGCACAUGUCUGUCUGGCAUGUUUUAUAUGACCUUGACCUCAUUUUCAUGGUUCAUUGGUCAAUGAAAAGUUUGCAUUGUUUUGUCAGUUUAUCAUAUGCUUUAAGCAACAGGUAAAUUAUAUUUGGCGGAUGUAACUAUUGUAAGGUGUGCAUGUCUGUCUGGCAGAUUUAUAUAACCAUGACCGUAUUUUAUGGUUCUUUGGUCAAUGCUAAGUUUUCUUGGUUUUUUCUUUUUAUCAGAUAUUAUAAGCAUAUGUCUACUUGUAAGUGUAUGGAAUGACUGUAAGGUGUCAUAUAAGAAUAAGAAGUUGUCUGUCUGCCAAGGUUAAUAUUACUGUGACCUCAUUUUCAUAGAAUAUUGAUAAUAUUAAACAAAAAAAAUGAUGAGCAUGACAAGAUAUACAAAUGAUCCAAAAUUGUCAGUUGCAUACUAAUUAUGUAAUAGUAGCUAUUGUCAUUAAAUGAUAAUGUUUACCCUUUUAUGUGUAGGGCAAGAACAUUAAAGAUAAAAGGAAACUAUAAACAAAAGAGAUUAUCAACAAAAAUAGAUUUCAGACGUCAACAAAGCCUAAAUGGUCAGACAUCUUGGUUUUCAUGAUCAUCAUUCAACAGGUCAAUACUGAACAGAAAACUUAAAGUUGAUAUUUUUCUAUAUAGUGUGACUUUUUUAUUAAUUUGAAAUGGAAUGUGUUUUUUUCCUACAUAAGAAAGAGGAAAUUUCAACAUAAUGACUAUAAACAAAAAGGAGUCAUAUUAUCAUGAUCAUAGAUGCACAAGAACUAAAUCAUGUAAAUGCAACAACGUAAUUAUCAAUUGAAAGAAGGGAGGAAUGAAAAAAUAUAUUAGUAAUUUGUUGUCUAAAUGAACUUGCUUUGUCCACUCAUUUAAAUCGCUCCAUCCAAUAAAGAUGUACGGAGGAGGAUUUUUGAAGAACAGAUUGCAAAAAUGUUUUGUCUAAGAAUUGUAGGAAUAUUCUAGUGGAUGAAAUAAUUUAUUUACUUGACUCUUAUGUAGUGGACUGAAUAAUUGUACAUAGCAAGCUGAAACAAGAAAACUAAAACUUAACAGGAAAAGUGUUUAUUUUAUAAAUUUGCAAAUAUAAACGUAAUAUUAUGAACACCACAAAGGUAUAAGAUUCAAAUUGUUUGCAUAUUCAUGUAUUGCAAUGGAACUAUAACAAAGAAAACUUUACCUCAUUAAAAGAGUAAACUAUUAA